AGUGAACGCUGGCGGUAGGCCUAACACAUGCAAGUCGAACGGCAGCACAGUAAGAGCUUGCUCUUACGGGUGGCGAGUGGCGGACGGGUGAGGAAUACAUCGGAAUCUACUUUUUCGUGGGGGAUAACGUAGGGAAACUUACGCUAAUACCGCAUACGACCUACGGGUGAAAGCAGGGGAUCUUCGGACCUUGCGCGAUUGAAUGAGCCGAUGUCGGAUUAGCUAGUUGGCGGGGUAAAGGCCCACCAAGGCGACGAUCCGUAGCUGGUCUGAGAGGAUGAUCAGCCACACUAGAACUGAGACACGGUCCAGACUCCUACGGGAGGCAGCAGUGGGGAAUAUUGGACAAUGGGCGCAAGCCUGAUCCAGCCAUACCGCGUGGGUGAAGAAGGCCUUCGGGUUGUAAAGCCCUUUUGUGGGGAAAGAAAAGCAGCAGGUUAAUACCCCGCUGUUCUGACGGUACCCAAAGAAUAAGCACCGGCUAACUUCGUG
rnacentral:rRNA from 1 species